AAUCCCAGUCUUACGAAUGGAUUGAGAGCUUGCUCUUAUGAAGUUAGCGGCGGACGGGUGAGUAACACGUGGGUAACCUACCCAUAAGACUGGGAUAACUCCGGGAAACCGGGGCUAAUACCGGAUAAUAUUUUGAACUGCAUAGUUCGAAAUUGAAAGGCGGCUUCGGCUGUCACUUAUGGAUGGACCCGCGUCGCAUUAGCUAGUUGGUGAGGUAACGGCUCACCAAGGCGACGAUGCGUAGCCGACCUGAGAGGGUGAUCGGCCACACUGGGACUGAGACACGGCCCAGACUCCUACGGGAGGCAGCAGUAGGGAAUCUUCCGCAAUGGACGAAAGUCUGACGGAGCAACGCCGCGUGAGUGAUGAAGGCUUUCGGGUCGUAAAACUCUGUUGUUAGGGAAGAACAAGUGCUAGUUGAAUAAGCUGGCACCUUGACGGUACCUAACCAGAAAGCCACGGCUAACUACGUGCCAGCAGCCGCGGUAAUACGUAGGUGGCAAGCGUUAUCCGGAAUUAUUGGGCGUAAAGCGCGCGCAGGUGGUUUCUUAAGUCUGAUGUGAAAAGCCCACGGCUCAACCGUGGAGGGUCAUUGGAAACUGGGAGACUUGAGUGCGCACAGAGGCACAGUGGAAUUCCCAUGUGUAGCGGUGCAAAUGCGUCAGAGAUCUGGAGGCACACCGUGGGCGAAG
rnacentral:rRNA from 1 species